AGCAGGGGACCUUCGGGCCUUGCGCUAUCAGAUGAGCCUAGGUCGGAUUAGCUAGUUGGUGAGGUAAUGGCUCACCAAGGYGACGAUCCGUAACUGGUCUGAGAGGAUGAUCAGUCACACUGGAACUGAGACACGGUCCAGACUCCUACGGGAGGCAGCAGUGGGGAAUAUUGGACAAUGGGCGAAAGCCUGAUCCAGCCAUGCCGCGUGUGUGAAGAAGGUCUUCGGAUUGUAAAGCACUUUAAGUUGGGAGGAAGGGCAGUUACCUAAUACGUGGCUGUUUUGACGUUACCGACAGAAUAAGCACCGGCUAACUCUGUGCCAGCAGCCGCGGUAAUACAGAGGGUGCAAGCGUUAAUCGGAAUUACUGGGCGUAAAGCGCGCGUAGGUGGUUUGYUAAGUUGAAUGUGAAAUCCCCGGGCUCAACCUGGGAAYUGCAUCCAAAACKGKCAAGCUAGAGUAGGGCAGAGGGWGGKGGAAUUUCSUGWGUAGCGGUGAAAUGMGUAGAUAUAGGAAGGAACACCAGUGGCGAAGGCGMCCRCCYGGGCUCAUACUGAC
rnacentral:rRNA from 1 species